GCCGGGGUGGCGGAACUGGCAGACGCACAGGACUUAAAAUCCUGCGAUCAUUUUGAUCGUACCGGUUCGAUUCCGGUCCUCGGCA
rnacentral:tRNA from 1 species